CUUUUUAUCCGCAAAUUUCACCAAAAUUUCCCCACUAAAACCCUUAAUUUUUUCCCCUAAAAUCAGUAUCCUCAAAACUCCCCCAAUCUCAUCCCUCCGUUGCCUUUUUCAAUAAAGAAACUCUCCAACAGCAGCGUCUCCAAGCUCUUAUCGAAGGUGUCCACGAUUACUCUGGCUCCACUGUACUUGGAUGGGGUGAUUGGUAUUACACGGGUGAAGAAGAUAAAGGGAAAAGGAAGUUGAAAACUUUGUCUGCAGUUGCAGAGUAAUUCCUUGUGGAAAGAAGGAAUUUAUUGCAGAAUUUCAUCCAGUAUUCUAUGCACAGAUCUUCAAAAUCUGAGAGAAGAAAUUCAAUCCAAAAAAAGAAAAAAAAACCCCAAAAGAUGAGGAUUAAUGGGAGUUGAGAGUUGAUUUUUUAUUAAUUUUUUCAAGUGAUAUUGUUAUAUAGUAAAAAAAAGAUGAAUUCACAAAAUCAAGUGGAGUCAACUCUCAAGGAAAUACUUGAAGUGGUCAAGCCGUUGCAUGAAGACUGGGUUACUCGGUUUAAGAUCAUCAAUGAACUGCGUGAAGUCGUUCAAUCUAUCGAAAAUUUAAGAGGUGAGAAGCUGCCCAUUGUGAUAUUGAGAGCUGAGCUUGACCAUUUGGCUUCCCCAGCAGUUUUAAAACAGUUUGAUGACAUCUUAAGUGCAAGAUUUAAAGCUAGCUUUAUCACUCUUAUCAAUCACUUACCAACUCCUUGAUCACCAUGUUUGCCAAAGGUGUAUAUUUGGCUUUCUAUUCUAGUGUUUUGGAUUCUCUGGCGGUUGAAUUGAAAGCAUCAAAGGACUUCUCUAAGUUAUAUGCAGGCAUUGCAAUACUUUGGCUUUAUCUAAUCUUGAACCAGCCCUUUGUUGUAUAUUGUUUCUUCUUCUUUUCUGAUCUUUAUCCUUUGAUUAAUGAGAGGUGAUGAUGAUUUGGCAUUCUUUUCUCACCGGGAUGAAUAUUGUUUUAGAAAUAGUAAUACUUUGUGAGUGUGUCUGUGUGUGUUUUUUUAUGUAUUAAAUUACAUAUUGAAUCAAUGUUUAUGUAUUAAAUUUAAAUUUAUAAA